rnacentral:rRNA from 1 species
AUGCACUCUCCACUACAAAGGCCAAAAUCGCCGACUCGCCGGGUCCAACCCGACAGCGGCUCCACCGCGUCAUCGGACCCACGAGCUCGUCGCGACCAGCGCCAAGUUCUCCAUGAACGGCAACAAGAGGACGCUCGUACUCGCAUCGAGCGCCGAAGAGAAGCGCGGCGUCAAUCUGACCAGCGCGCCGGGCCCUCUGUCGACAUGCACGCGCCGGGGGAGCCAGGUGACUUGCCGUACGCGGUAGGUUGCCCUGCGUUCACCCAUGAGCUGCGGCAGGUCCAGUGGCCCAGCAAGAUAAACUUCAAACUAGACGUACCAGAGAAGUACGACGGCAAGACACAUCCGUCGGAGUUCCUCAGCAUCUACACCAUCGCGGUGCAGGCUGCCGGGGGACGGGACGACAAGAUCCUUGCUAACUACUUCCCGCUGGUGCUCAAGCCCAACGUCAGGUCCUGGCUCAUGCACUUGCUGGACAACUCCAUCUCCUCUUGGGAAAAUCUAUGCCAUCAGUUUGUCGGCGCCUUUACAGGCGGCCACAAGCCACAUGGCCAAGAGAGCGAUCUUCAUCUGCUCGCCCAGAAGGAAGGAGAGCCACUGCGCAAGUACAUUCAGAGAUUCAGCCGUGUACAGCACAACAUCCCAGACGUCCACCCUGCCGCGAUCAUCAGCGCGUUCCAUCAGAACGUGCGAAACCGCAGGAUGAGGGAGGAGAUGGCGAUGUGUAAGAUCAGAAACGUCAGCGAGCUUUACGCCCUGGCCGACAAGUGUGCGCGCACUGAAGAGGGGAGGAGGCUCCCCGGAGAGAAUACAGGAGCAGGAGGAUCCGAGAGUAAGGAUGCCGCCCCGGCAAGGAAAGGCCGGCGGCGGAACAACAGAAGGAAAAAGGGCAAGGAAGUGCUAGCUGUCGAGCAGACCGGCAACGGAGGUGGCGUCAAGGAAGCUAAAGCUGGUGGCUCCAGCAAGGAGGCCCAGCCUGUGGCAGCCGCCGACAAGCAGGACAGCUCCGGCAAGCAGUAUUGCAAGAUCCACCGCACCAAGGGUCACGAUCUCUAG